UUCCUCCUCCCCCCCAAUGGUUUCUUUAGCCAUUUGAGUAUAUUUAAGACAGUUGAUUUAAAAUUUUGCAUGUUAAGUCCAGUAUCUGGACUUCUUCAAAAACUAUUAAUUUCUUUCUUCCUGUGACUAGUUCUUUCUUUUGUAUGUAAUUUUAUAACCUUUCAUUAAAAAUUUGAUAUUUUGAAGGUUAUAAUGUGGCAACUUUGGAAAUCACUUUCCCCCACUCUAUGAUGUGCUGUUACUGUUUGUUUCGGCUGUUGUUGCCUAUUUUUAAAAUGACUUUUCUGAACUAAUUUUUAAAAUAUGUAUUUUUCUCAUGUGUGGCCACUUAAGUUUCUGUUCCAUUAGCUUACCAGUUGGCUAGUAGCUAAGAUUUUCUUUAAUGCCUGGAGCCAAACAACAACAACAACAACAACAAACACUAAAAAAAACUCUUAAGUCUUUUUAGAUGGUCUCCAUGUUGUGCUGCUCCUUUAAUAUUUGGCCAGGCCAUUUACUUCCUGCUUGCAUGGAGCUUGAAGGUCAGCCAAUGAUGAGGUCUUUGAAUCUUCUCAAGUCCUUUCUGAGCAUGUAUGCAGCCCAGGCACACAUGUGGCCUUCUAGAUUCUCUCUAUUAAAUGGGAGCAUUUAAAAGCCCAUAAUCCCUGAAAUGUGCCCUUCUCCAGCCUCUUUCUUCCCAAUAUUUUGGCUUUCCUGUUACUUGCCCUGCCGCUUAUACAUUUGCUUUUAAAUGUUUUUGGCAAAUGUCACCCAGGAAGCCACAUUAGAGCUGAGGCAUGUGAAACAAAGGCAGGUCCUUGAGCAGAACCUUCAGAGAACUUUGGGGGAGCUUCAGGGAACUACUUUAGGUCAAAAUGUAGAUCCACGGUUCUUUAAGAAUAAGAUUGGUGUUGAUUCCUCUGUGACUAAUCACCUGCACCAGGAAAACAGUGCAGUCUAUAGCUCAGUUGGGAAGUGGGGGAUGGUAAUGAAGUAAGCUAAAAUGCCACAGAGCUCUCUUACUAAAAUUCAGCUUUUUUAUAGGUCAUUAAGUUUUCCCCUGGUUGCUGGGAAUUUUGUUUUUUUGUUUUUUUGAAUUAGAUUCUAGGAUUCUGAGGAGGUUUACUGUAACAAUUUUUGCCAGCUUGUUCAUUGCUUUUAUGGAGGGAUGAAGGUUCAGGGUUCUCUACUCUGCUAUUUUCACAGAUAUCUGUCCAAUGGAGAGAGUGAGUGAUAUGGGUAUGAUGUUACUGAUUCCAACAAAAGGGUAGCAUCCAGUGCAGAUCCCUUCAGACUUCUCUUGGAGUCUUCAGAGUUGGAUGCCUGAGAAGAUGGAAAAUCUUGGCUGAACUCUGGAGAGCAAGCAUGCCCCUUUUGUGGGGUCUACUUUGAGGAAACUUAUCCUAUAAUGUAUGCACACAGCUUCUGUCUAAGCUGCCUUGACUCCUUGGUGAUAUAGACUGACAAAGGCUUUUCACACACAAAGUGCUUUCAGUUAUCCUGGAACAAGUAAAUCCAGGAAAACCUGGCAGCAGGAUACUUGGUGAACCUUUUCAGAAAGUUGGACUCCAGAGUACAGCACUGAACAUGGGCCUUAGGAUGGCAAACUUCUAAUGUGACCGUAACAGAAAACUCAGAAAAUAAUCUCUCUCUUCCUUUUACCUGAACUAUUUUGAAGACCUCUGCUUGAUGUCUUGCAAACAUCUUAUGCUUCACCUGCCUAUAGCAUUUGGUGAGAAAGAACCAGGAUAGGCUAUUUGUUCUCCCCAGUGUCUCGACAUUUCUCAGAUACAGAAGAUCCAGAUCAACAUGGCCCUUGGGAGGCUGGUGACUUCUGGGACUAGGGUACUCAUGCCUGUGGAGAGCAUUUAAUGCUAUAUGCUCAAAUUCUAUGUGAAUACGGAUUCGGAUCCACUAACCAUCACUAACUGUCUCACGUUCCCUGAGACGUGGGGUGUCAGAUGUGGGUGUGUCAGAUGAAGUCUGAUAGAAUCCUGAGACAUUCCUCCCUGGGCUUUUGUCCUUGGCUUCUCCACUUUGCUUCUGGCUACAACUAUUGGAAGAUAGAAACGGGGGAAAGGUAGAAAUGGGAUACAGGUGUUUGCUUAGAGUCUGCACAUUGUCAAGGAACAUUCCCCUAUGUCUUCAGAGCUUAGAUUCCAAGUUGUGAGCCUCAGAGGAGGAUAUGAAGUUGUGUUAUCUGAACCCAGGACCAUUCUCCACAUGAACCUAAACUUCUAGAAUAUGGACCUCUUCCUGGUUUGACCUAAAACCCAACUCAUUUUGUGAUGCCUCUGAUGGUUUCCAUCUCUACAGAUUCAAAAAUGUGUCUGCCUCAGGGCCUUUUUUCAACCUUGUGUCCUAGGACCCCAGGCAAGGGUGAGAAUGUGAAGAUCUGUCCCAAGGGAGCCACAAAUACUGCAGUUUGGCCACACUCACCCUAAGAAAACAUAUAAACUCUGUCCAAAAUAAAAACCAAGUGGGAGGAAACUGCUGACUCCUAUAGGCCCCAGAUCUUUCAUUAUUACAGGUGUUGAUAAGGUUGAGAAUGCUCGUGGGUUUUUUUUCCCCC
rnacentral:lncRNA from 1 species